rnacentral:rRNA from 1 species
ACGGCUCAGUAACACGUAGCUAACCUAACCUUAGGACGGAAAUAACCCCGGGAAACUGGGGCUAAUGUCCGAUAGAUGUGGAGGCCUGGAAUGGUUCUACGUUUAAAAGGUAAAAUAAGCAUGUUUGUGUUAUGCCUAAGGAUGGGGCUGCGGCCGAUCAGGUUGUUGGUGAGGUAAAGGCUCACCAAGCCAUUGACCGGUACGGGCCAUGAGAGUGGUAGCCCGGAGAUGGGCACUGAGACAAGGGCCCAGGCCCUACGGGGCGCAGCAGGCGCGAAACCUCCACAAUGCACUCAAGUGCGAUGGGGUUACCUCGAGUGCUGCCUGAAAAAGGUGGCUUUUACGUAGUGUAACUAGCUAUGUGAAUAAGAGGGGGGCAAGACUGGUGUCAGCCGCCGCGGUAACACCAGCCCCUCGAGUGGUGGGGAUGAUUAUUUGGCCUAAAGCGUCCGUAGCCGGCUGUACAAGUCUUUCGUUAAAUUCAACGUCUCAAGCGUUGGCAUGCGAGAGAUACUGUAUAGCUAGAGGGUGGGAGAGGUCAGCGGUAUUCCUGGGGUAGGGGCGAAAUCCUUUGAUCCCAGGAGGACCACCAGUGGCGAAGGCUGCUGACUAGAACACGCCUGACGGUCAGGGACGAAAGCUGGGGUAGCGAACCGGAUUAGAUACCCGGGUAGUCCCAGCCGUAAACGAUGCAUGCUAGGUGUUGGGUCGGCCACGCGCCGCCUCAGUGCCGCAGGGAAGCCAUUAAGCAUGCCGCCUGGGGAGUACGGCCGCAAGGCUGAAACUUAAAGGAAUUGGCGGGGGAGCACCACCAGGCGUGAAGCCUGCGGUUUAAUUGGAGUCAACGCCGGG